rnacentral:misc_RNA from 1 species
ACUUAGGAAUCGUUGACACUCGCCAAGACUCCUCACCUGCCCAUCAAAAGACGUAAAGUCAUCCACAUUGGCCAACCAAGGAACCGGAUUACACGUGAGAAAGGAGGUUAUGCGGUAUCCUAGAUGGCGCAGUGGUAGAUGCGCGGUAACGAUGCGCAGGACACGUUGCGACUCUUAUACCUUUAUGUACGCCUAGUAGUUACUUGGCGAAAUGUGGACGCCUUUCGGGAACUGUUUUUCUUGGCACCCUGAAGUGUACCCCGGGUGCGUCCAAUUACCUGUGAGGGCAUAUUAGGUGACGAAGGAGACUGCAGCGGUAUACUUUGUCAGGUCAUGAACGCCAGAAUCUUGGAAAUAGCCACCUUAAACUGUUUUACCCUCGCAUACGUCGGGUAAGGAAGCGCGUAGUAGAACGUAGUAGCAUCACGUUACCAAAGCCCGGCACAUCUGAUAGAUCAACCACUUAUGUAUGUACGUACAUGCUUAUCGAUCGACUCUACAAUUCUAUGGCGACGUAUAAUGGUGCACCUGCGUGUACACAGGUGUGUGUAUGUGUGGGUAUGCGUAUACAGGUGUCUCAACUAUACCAAGGCGAUUUACAAGCGAUUAUAAUGUUGCUCUUAACACGUCCAUGACAACAGAAUUUCGACAUAUCAUUGCUUUAUGAACAAACUCAUAGCUGGUUUCCUUUUGUUUCAUGAAAUCAUAUGUAUUUAAUAAUAACGAUUCGAACUAUAUUAUAAUUAUUGUGUGAAAACGCAUAUUUUUCUUUUUUUGAAUUAAACAGUAACAUUUUUAGCGUAUUCUCUCCAUUACAAGAAUGAGAACGGUUUA